rnacentral:rRNA from 1 species
UACGGGGGGAGCAAGCGUUGUUCGGAUUUACUGGGCGUAAAGGGCGCGUAGGCGGCCACCGCAAGUCAAUUGUGAAAUCUCCGGGCUUAACUCGGAAAGGUCAACUGAUACUGGAUGGCUUGAGUGUGGGAGAGGGAUGCGGAAUUCCAGGUGUAGCGGUGAAAUGCGUAGAUAUCUGGAGGAACACCGGUGGCGAAGGCGGCAUCCUGGACCAUUACUGACACUGAAAAGCGAAAGCCAGGGGAGCAAACGGG